rnacentral:rRNA from 1 species
UUUGAUCCUGGCUCAGAACGAACGCUGGCGGCGUGCUUAACACAUGCAAGUCGAACGCGAACAGUUUCUUCGGAAACCUAGUAGAGUGGCGCACGGGUGAGUAACGCGUAAGUUAUCUACCCUCCCAUCUGGAAUAACUCACCGAAAGGUGUGCUAAUACCGGAUACGUUGGAAACAAGAAAGGUGGCCUCUAUUUAUAAGCUACCGUGGGGGGAUGAGCUUGCGUACCAUUAGCUAGUUGGUAGGGUAAUGGCCUACCAAGGCAACGAUGGUUAGCGGGUCUGAGAGGAUGAUCCGCCACACUGGAACUGGAACACGGACCAGACUCCUACGGGAGGCAGCAGUGAGGAAUAUUGCGCAAUGGGGGAAACCCUGACGCAGCGACGCCGCGUGGAUGAUGAAGGCCUUUGGGUCGUAAAAUCCUGUCAGAUGGAAAGAAAUGUACAUGUGCUAAUAUCACUUGUAUUUGACGGUACCAUCAAAGGAAGCACCGGCUAACUCCGUGCCAGCAGCCGCGGUAAUACGGAGGGUGCAAGCGUUGUUCGGAAUUACUGGGCGUAAAGCGCGCGUAGGUGGCUUUUUAAGUCAGAUGUGAAAGUCCACGGCUCAACCGUGGAAGUGCAUUUGAAACUGGAAAGCUUGAGUAUUGGAGGGGGGUAGUGGAAUUCCCGGUGUAGAGGUGAAAUUCGUAGAUAUCGGGAGGAAUACCAGUGGCGAAGGCGACUACCUGGCCAAAUACUGACACUGAGGUGCGAAAGCGUGGGGAGCAAACAGGAUUAGAUACCCUGGUAGUCCACGCCGUAAACGAUGUCAACUAGGUGUUGGGAAGGUUAAUCUUCUCAUUGCCGCAGCUAACGCAUUAAGUUGACCGCCUGGGGAGUACGG